UACGUAGGUGGCUAGCGUUAUCCGGAUUUACUGGGUGUAAAGGGCGAGUAGGCGGGAUUGCAAGUCAGAUGUGAAAACUAUGGGCUCAACCGAUAGAGUGCAUUUGAAACUGCAGUUCUUGAGUGAUGGAGAGGCAGGCGGAAUUCCCGGUGUAGCGGUGGAAUGCGUAGAUAUCGGGAGGAACACCAGUGGCGAAGGCGGCCUGCUGGACAUUAACUGACGCUGAGGCGCGAAAGCGUGGGGAGCAAACAGG
rnacentral:rRNA from 1 species